UCAAGUGGAUUUUCCGUGCG
rnacentral:snRNA from 1 species